GCGUCACGGCGGCCCUGCUCUCGCGAGGGAGCGGGGGCGGCCGGCGUUUACCGGGUGCGUCCGCACGUGGCGAAGCGCCCGCCUGCGAAGCCCCCGCGAGGGGGCCGCGAGGGGGCGGCGAGUCACGGUAACCGGCAGCUCUGGGGCGCUGCCCGCGAGGGCACGCGCGUGGGAGAGAGCGGAUCGCCCCGCGGUGGUGGCGGGGCGACGCGCCGCGCGAGCGUGUGCCCUAUCAGCUCUGGACGGCAGGGGUAUUGGCCUGCCGUGGCGGUGACGGGUAACGUGUUAUCGGGGUGAGAUGACGGAGAGGGGCCUGGGAGACGGCCGCCACUGUUACGACAGGCAGCAGGCGCGCAAAGUUACCCCAUCCUGACACAGGGAAGUUAGUGACAGGACCUAGCAGAGCCGGCGCCGCCUCGGGGCAACCCGAGCCGCGGUCCGCGCCUGGAAUGAGAGCAACCCAAACCCUCACCGAGGAUCCGUCGGA
rnacentral:rRNA from 1 species